rnacentral:rRNA from 1 species
UCAGCAGCCCGCGGUAAUACGGAGGGUGCAAGCGUUAAUCGGAAUUACUGGGCGUAAAGCGCACGCAGGCGGUCUGUCAAGUCGGAUGUGAAAUCCCCGGGCUCAACCUGGGAACUGCAUUCGAAACUGGCAGGCUGGAGUCUUGUAGAGGGGGGUAGAAUUCCAGGUGUAGCGGUGAAAUGCGUAGAGAUCUGGAGGAAUACCGGUGGCGAAGGCGGCCCCCUGGACAAAGACUGACGCUCAGGUGCGAAAGCGUGGGGAGCAAACAGGAUUAGAUACCCUGGUAGUCCACGCUGUAAACGAUGUCGACUUGGAGGUUGUUCCCUUGAGGAGUGGCUCCGGAGCUAACGCGUAAGUCGACCGCCUGGAU